rnacentral:rRNA from 1 species
UACAGAGGAGGCAAGCGUUGUUCGGAAUUACUGGGCGUAAAGGGCGCGUAGGCGGCCUUCUAAGUCGAACGUGAAAUCCCCGGGCUCAACCCGGGAACUGCGUCCGAUACUGGAAGGCUUGAAUCCGGGAGAGGGAUGCGGAAUUCCAGGUGUAGCGGUGAAAUGCGUAGAUAUCUGGAGGAACACCGGUGGCGAAGGCGGCAUCCUGGACCGGUAUUGACGCUGAGGCGCGAAAGCGUGGGGAGCAAACAGG